rnacentral:rRNA from 1 species
GACAGAGGGUGCAAACGUUGUUCGGAUUUACUGGGCGUAAAGCGUGUGUAGGCGGCUUCGCAAGUUGGAUGUGAAAUCCCACGGCUCAACCGUGGACGUGCAUCCAAAACUGCGUCGCUAGAGUCUCGGAGAGGAAGGUGGAAUGCUUGGUGUAGAGGUGAAAUUCGUAGAUAUCAAGCAGAACACCUGCGGCGAAGGCGGCCUUCUGGACGAUGACUGACGCUGAGACACGAAAGCCAGGGGAGCAAACGGG